CAGCAGCCGCGGUAAUACAGAGGGUGCGAGCGUUAAUCGGAUUUACUGGGCGUAAAGCGUGCGUAGGCGGCUUCUUAAGUCGGAUGUGAAAUCCCUGAGCUUAACUUAGGAAUUGCAUUCGAUACUGGGAAGCUAGAGUAUGGGAGAGGAUGGUAGAAUUCCAGGUGUAGCGGUGAAAUGCGUAGAGAUCUGGAGGAAUACCGAUGGCGAAGGCAGCCAUCUGGCCUAACACUGACGCUGAGGUACGAAAGCAUGGGGAGCAAACAGGAUUAGAUACCCCCGUAGUCCCUGUCUCUUAUAC
rnacentral:rRNA from 1 species